rnacentral:rRNA from 1 species
GACAGAGGUGGCUAGCGUUGCUCGGAUUCAUUGGGUGUAAAGGGUGCGUAGGCGGUUUGAAAAGUCGGAUGUGAAAGCCCACAGCUCAACUGUGGAAAUGCAUCUGAAACUCUCAGACUUGAGUGCGAAAGAGGUGAAGGGAAUUCCCGGUGUAAGGGUGAAAUCUGCAGAGAUCGGGAGGAACACCAGUAGCGAAGGCGCUUCACUGGUUCGCAACUGACGCUGAGUGCACGAAGGCGUGGGGAGCAAACGGGAUUAGAUACCCUAGUAGU